UUGUUUCUAUUUAGAUAGAUGUCACUAGUUCAAAGUUUAAGAUCAAUGAAAAAUCAAGAUUUUAAAUUUUUUUGUUUUUGAUGUUCAAUAUUUAUGAAUAUAUUUUGUUGAAAUGUGUUUUAAUUAAACUAAUUAAAUGGUGUUGGACUCAAUAAUUGUGAUUGUAAAGCCUUGGAUGUAAACAAAGAGGAAGAAAUCAUUUGUUACCUUUGUUUUACUCAACUUGCUUAUCAACAUGAUUCAAUCACAAUGCUGAUGCUACGUGUUAAUUAUGCCUCCAAUUUAAUCAUAUGAAACAGAUGAGCCUAAAUUUUAGAUGUCAUCAUCUUGACAAAGAACCGGUUGAACAAUUUGAUUUCAACUCUAAUUUUUCAUCACAAUCCCGUGACUCUCCCACAUAAGUAAUAAUGUUUAUAAUUGCAAUCAUCAUUUAACCAACACUCAAUAUGGAACCAUCUAGUACUAUAAGUCUGAUCUCAGGAUUGAAUGUUCCUAUCAAUCUCCUGACAGACACCAAGGACUAACCCAUUUUGACUAUCCUCUUCAACUUCAUGUUAAAGGACUUAAAGUAACUAACAAUAGUACAUGAUUAAUAUAAAAUCACGAUGAAAAUGUUGAAAAAGAUGAACAAAUGUGAAAUAACAACAUGAACGAUGGCAAUCACUGAACCAUUUUUUAUCCAUUCUUUGUAUUGAAAAACACCAACAAAGUGAUUGUUGAUUUAUGCGAAACAAAGUGUGUAACCAAAUUCAACGUGAUUUUUAAUGAUUUAUCAGAAAAAGAAAGAUAAUAAUGAAAAGAAAGUUGAAUUGGAAACAUUAAAAAGUAGGUAAGAGGUUGAAGGUAUUAUUAAUACAAGGCAUGAAGAGGAAAAAAUAAAGAUGGAUGAUGAUCUAAAGACGAAAUAAGAUGAAAAAAGUGAGUUAUAUUAAAAGAUAAUAAAGAAACUAGUUCGUUUUGAUGCCAUUUAUAUAUUCAACAAUAAAUAACGACGAUUGAGGUCAUUCGCUUUAUUAAAUGAAGAACUGGUCAUUCAGUAUCAUCCUCCUCAUUUUUAUCAUCAUCAUCACCAUCACUAUCUUAAACAACACUACGAUUCACCUUUUAGUUGAACAGUUUCUUUCAAUACAAUGUAAACUCAAGAGUCAAUUCACCAGAAAAUUUGGUUUUCCCUGGUUAACCGACAUUUCAACUCUACCGCCAAGCCAAAAUUUUCAGUCAAACUCUUGUUUAAUUGGUUUAACCAGUAUUUCCUAGGUAACCAGAGAUACCGGUAUCUCCCUGGUUACCCCAUUGUUACCCAAUAUGAAAGAUGAAUUGGAUUAUGAUCCUGAACCACGUUCUGUGUUGUUUAUUUUGGUUAAAGUGUUAUCCUUGUUGGCAAUUAUGUGUUUAAUUGUUCACAAAGUGCAAUCUAUUCCUUAAAAUCAGGUUGACUUUGAUUCGUCUUCUUCACCGUUUUAUUCAGAAGCUUCGGGUUACAUUGAUCGAGUUGAAAUGGAGAAUGCUUUACUUGCCAUUGGAACCACAUUUACCUUUAUUAUUCAUGUCAUUGGAUUAUUGGCUGUUAUUCGGGAACAUCAUUGGCUUUUAUUUAUAUAUUCAACUUAUUUAUCGUUAACUGUCCUCCUCAAUGUAUUACCGGUUCUUCAGAGUCCACCGUUAAUGGUAAACAUGGCUGUUAAUCUGGCAACCGGACUGUUAACCUUUGCUUUAGCAUUAAUGUCAAGGAAUCGAUUUCUUCUUCCCUUUUUAUCAGCUGAGGAAUCCAUUUGACACGAUUAAUUGACUACAGUUUAACGUUAAUCAACUUGAAUACCUUGACAGUUGGAUAAAAUGGUAAACUCGAAUGAGCGAGAAAAAUUAAGACAAAAACAAGGUAAUUAAAGUUCGGUCCUAAUGAUGGUGAUGGCAACAAAAUGUGAUCAGUCAAAUUAUAUUGGAUUCUUGUUAACUACUUUUUUCAAGAGUCAAUUGGUUAACCAAAGAAUCGAUUGAAGGAUAAAUAUUCACUCUUCAAUUCCAGGACAUUCAAGGACUCAUAAUCAUCAUCUUAACCCAAUCAUCAACUCGUUGAAGUGAUACAAUGAGUAAAGUCAUAUCAAAAGUUUUAAACUUUAGCUAAAUACUUAAUUAUUUUUAUUUUUAUAUUCACAAUUUGGUAAUAAUUGUUAGUAACUAGCUUAAUUCACUGCCACUUGAAAAUUUGAUUCGUUAAAUUUUCUCAUCUAUAUUAUUGAAUAAUUGCUGGAAGAAAUGAAAGUUGAAAAAUUAAGGAAAUUAUAAGUGAUCAAGACAAGGUCUUGAAGAAGGAGAAUUAGUGAGAAAAAAGUUUAACUAAUUUUACAAUCAAAUGUUUCAUUCGAUUUUAAUUUUUAUCAUUUUAUACAUUUUGAUUUAAUUUAUGAUUGUAAUCUAUUGACAGUGUUUACUUUUUUGGUGUUUCAAUUAGUAUUCACUUUUGGAUCAAUACUGUGCAUCAAAUGUCUAAAUCAACCCUCAAUAUUGUUUCCCUUUCCCUAUUCCUAUUAAUUGUUAACCAUCAAUUCAAUUGCAUCCCAUCUCUUUGUAUAACCUCAACUCCAUGUCACCAUUUGACUCGUUCAAGAUGCACAAGUUUCAAUGCAGAUGGACAAACCUAUGUUUGGUCAAUGUUUGGUCGAACCUGUAAAUGUUGCUCUUUCGAGGAUAAACCUGAUGAUCAAGAAUAUACCAAUCAUCAGUUAACCAGGAAAUCAACAUUAAAAAUCAAACCAACAUUAACACCAAACGUUUCCACUUGGAUUGAUAACAUCGUGAAUACAAAUGAUACUUCAUUGUAAAUAACUGAUGAAACCUAAAAAUAGUUUUAUUCCCAUUCAAAUUGUAUAAUCAUCAAUCAACUAACUCAUCUUCGUAAUAUAUUUUUUAUAAUUGUUUUGA